rnacentral:miRNA from 1 species
UGUGUGUGUGUGUGUGCGCGCGCGCGUGCACACACACACGCGCGCACACACACACACACA